rnacentral:tRNA from 1 species
GCGCGGGUGGCGGAAUGGUAGACGCGCACGUUUGAGGGGCGUGUGCCGCAAGGCAUGUGGGUUCAAGUCCCAUCCCGCGCA